AACUGGAAACGAAAAAGAGUCCAAAGAUGGCGCUUGAAGUACGCUGUUUUUUGAGAUUAUAUGCUUAUUUUGAUGCCAAAGGCACGAUGAAGACGCUAUUUGUGGUAUCACUUGCACUUUAAAACCUAUAUGCCUUUGUUUGGUUGUAUUUGGAUGCAAGAGAAAUGGCUGCAGCGUCUGUAAAAUUCUGAAAUGGAGAACGUGUAAUUCCCCAUACUUACAACAGCUUGGUAAUUUCUAGCUUGUUCAAUAACAUACCGAAGGCCAAGGAGAAGCUGGAUAGAUGUGAAGGAACAGAUGUAGAUUUACUUUAGACUAACUGUCUACAUUGCAAUAUUUGCAACAGGAGGAAAUGAAACCAGUCACCCCUGCUGACAAGGAUGUUUGACUAGACAAGGAACAUCACAAGAGAGUUUGGAUUUGGCAAGAGCAGAAAAAGGACAACAGGCCAGACACUAAGGAUUGUGCCCGAAGAUUGAAGCAACCAGGACCAAAUGACAAGAUGGUUUUUGGUAAAUUUAUUGUGAGGUGGUAAUUGAGAGUCAGAGGUUUACGCCUUUAAGAAAUAAUAUAAUAAUUAUGUUAUUGGUAACUUAUAAGGAAUACAUGUGUGGCAUGAACUGUUCGCAAGGCUAAGAUUUUGUUCAAUUGUUUUUUUUGUUUUCUUGUUUUUCUGGUGAUUAGAAAUGAAAUUAUAGAUUCUACAUUUUUCCUAGAAAUUACUGAUGCUUUACUUUUACAAACUAAGCUAAAAAUCUCAAAGCACGAAAUAAACCCUUGCAAAAUAUUCAUGCUACACAUAUGCACAGAUCAGUAAGCUUACUAAAUACUCAAUGUAGUUAAAUGAAAAUAUUUUACCUAGACUUAGAUGUAACAAAUGUGAUUUUAUGAAUAGUUUUGUAGUUAUAAAUUCGCUUAUUAAUUAUUGGCCCAGCCCGGGAGGUCAUUGAACAUGGGGUACAGCUGGCCCGGGGUUUUCCUCCUAGGGGCAAGUGGACGUACGGGGAGGUUUUUCACCCAGCUGUUGUUCCACAACCCCUGUUCAGGUUAGUUACUUAUUUCAUUAGCUUGAUAGCCUUUUGUUAGGUUCUUCAAAGUGGCUUGCAUUGGUUUGUAACUGUAAAGCAUACAGUCACUAACAUUUUAAAACAAACAAUUCUGGACUGAUACCAACAACUGCAUUUCAUUCACUCAUCAAAUUACUUGUUAAUGACCUCAACAAAACCAACCAGCAAACUAUAACUUCAACAGAACAAACACAAACUUGUCUGACUAACAAUACUUGUGCAUGUAUAUAGAUCACUGAAACUGUCAACAUUGCAUGUUACACACUUCAGUACUUACAUCUUAACAAAUGACUUGUUCAUGACCUCAACAAACCAACAAAGUAAAUGUUAACUUCAAACAGAACAAUCACAGAUUUAACUGACAAUCAUAUUAAAACCAACAACAACUGGCCAAUCACAGUAUACUAACUUUGUACUUCGACUGUCAUUAACCACACUGGAACUGACCGAUCAGCAUCAAGGACCAGACUUAUCACCCUCGACUGACCAACAACUUUUUACCUAACUUUGUAGACUGGCUCUAUGCUUCUCAGGAACUUGACAAAAGACAAAAGAAAAGCACCUAACAGUGACCAACAACAAAGCACAUUCUACUUCCAUUAUGGGAGAGACUGACUUAAUCACAACAAAAUGGACACACUUGGUAAUGGCAAACAUACGUACAAGGACCUGACCUGACACCUGUACUUCAACAUAAACCUGACAGUCAACAAACUAACAAAAAGACUGCCACUGACAUUCAAAUCUACUACUAAGACAAUAGGUAUCACAACAGCCAAAACUUAAGACACUACCAAAACUGUGCAAUUCACACACCAAUGCAACCCACCACCUCAUAUGUUAAUACUAUUGUUAGGUGUGUGUGCCACCAAUGUUCAAACAAGUGCCUUUUCUGAGAAAAAAUUGUCUGUAUAUCUGGUUUGUAACUGAACAUUGAAGUAACUGUAUGGGAUUGAUUGGUUCAUUGGUUGGAUUCAGAGUCUUUGUCACUGUAUGUCAUUCUCACUACAGUAUGCAUUAUUCAGUGUCUAUUUUGUUGUUUGCCUUAUGUUAUGUUAAGGUCCAUGGAGAUGGCAAUGUUUUUACAGCUUACUGUUAGCUUUCAUUGUCGUUAUCUUGCGAACAAGGCUGGUAGAGAAACUCAACAAAAUUUUAUUAAUUAUAGUUAACUGUACUGUUCAUCCUGUUAUUUACAAGUCUGUUUCAUUUUCAAUCUCCUAAGCUUGCAGUUUUAACUUCCAAAUUGUGCUGAAACAAUAUUAGUCACUUUACAGAGUUUGUUUUCCCUUAGCCGAUUGUUUCACAAAUUUCUUUGAAGAUCAAAGAAUUAAGUCCAAUGAGUUUACCUAUUGAAAAGUAGGCCAAAAUAAACUGGUAAACAGCUUACACUUUGCAAAGAUUUUGCGGCUUAUGAAUCAGUCAGAUUGCAUUAGAUGAGGGUGAAAACCGGCAUGGAAUUAUAGAGAGCCAACUGAAAGGAAAUACUCUACUGCAAAAUGCUUUACAUGGUACCUUUAUUCAGUAUGGAUGAUUGCCCUAGAUUUUGACUUCUUUCUUUGGUAGUUUUAUUUCAGUUGUUUUAGCAAAUUUGAACAAUGUUAGGUGCAGAACACACAUACGUGUGAACUUUUUUGCAAAACACUUUUCCAAGGACUCCAAGGUUCCUUAAAGACCAAAUUAAGUAAGAAAAAUAUGAAUAAUAAUAUACAUUAUUUGUCAGCCUAGGUUGGUCAGUAUAGGGAAAACCUGUCAAGAUGUCGAGUCAGCUUGAGGCCUUGGGCCUCAGGUUGUGCUCAACACAGCCUCUGGCACAGUUUUUCCCAUACAGACCUCCUGGCCAGCAAAUAAUAUAUCUCUUUCAAAGCAAUUUUUUCUGUGGAAUGCAUAUUAGUGAGAGAGCUACAUGCAGCAGCAAAAAUUCUGACUCCAAUCAAUGAACCAUUUAAUCAAGAAAUUAUAGUACAUGUAUCUUUUUUGUAUCCAAUUAUUUCGAUGAUUUGAUUCCAUUGUCAAAUCUUACUCCUGCACUUGUUUGUUCAAUAUAAAUGAGGGUUGAGGGUCCAACACAAGAGUCUUGAGUAGAGCUUUUCUUAUGCAUGCAGUACUGCUGCCCCAGGACAAGGUCAUUGAUUAAUUGUCAGAAUUUUGUUAAUAAUUCGAAAAUCCAAAAUUGGCAAUUCUGAGAUUGGACAGCCUCAGCACAGUUAGCAUGCAUGUGCACAGGACACGCAAUUUGUUACUCCUCGGUACUUUUGCUCUGGGAUGGUGGUUUGAUACAGGCUAAGAAUAAGGGAAGCAGUUAUUUUCCAAUAUAAAUUGCAUGUUCAUGAGAGAGUCAGUGAAGUAUUUUUCAUUCACAAUUUAUACACUGUUUGGAUUAAAAUUAUUUCACUUCCAAAAUUUGGCCUGGGUAAGCUGAAGUCAUUUUACAUUCCAUGUUCAGUUGUCAUGACAACAGGUUGUGAGGUGCAAAAUGACAUCCAUUUACUAUCAGGCUACUUCAAAAUACAGUAUUUCAUAUUAGCAAGUUAUCAUCCUUUUUUAACAAAAAAACUUUUAUUAAUGCUUCCUUUGCUUAUAUUAAGUAAAGGAGAUCUGCAAGCUCAUUAGCAGACCUUUAACUAUAGAAGUGAAAAGUACUUAUUUUCACUCUACAAAACUUAGUUGCAACUAUUAGCAAGGUACCGUCAAUCUUAUCGUUGCCACUCAAUUUCCUCACUUUCUUGACUGCAUUUAUUGCUGUGAAGACUUACCAGAAUUUUCAUUGAUACACUUUCUUUUAGCCUUAAUCACAAAAAAAAAUACUACUUCUUUGUGGAAAAGUUUUAGAGUGGCAAUGAUAUGAAAAAGAGAAAAAACAAACCUAGAUAGAAAAGAGCUAUUUAAAGUUAAACAAAAUUUCAUUUCAUUAGGUACUUACAGCCUUUGUUGGAAUAAGGCUCUCCUCGGUUUCCAAAGUCUUGGUUUCAUUUCAUGUUUUAUUUUAAUUUUCCUGGUCAAUAAUAGUAAUAAUGCAAUAUUCAGCUUAAAGGAAGGUAGAUCAACAGUCUGCAUUAUUACUUUUAAAACUAGUUUUUUUGUUGUUGUUGUUGUUGUUUUAUUUCGAUCUAAAAAAAAUCUGGAUGCUCCUCACUGCUUAAGAUCUACUUAAUGCGGACUGUUGAUAAACAUCAAUGUUUAUUUGCUUUUUGUAAGGUAAGGUUCUUUCUUGGUGCUAGAAGUCCUUAUAUUUCGUAGGCUGUCCUAGGCUUCCUUUAAGCGUUUUCAACACUCUUGGGUUUUUUAAUGACUAUUUUUAAAAAAAAGAAAAGAAAAAGAAAAAGCUUGUAGGAUUUUUUAGCUCAGUACCCUGAGCACAGCCUAUCAACAGGCUAGAUCAAGUUUUAAACCUUGUUUAGUUUUUUACUUUUAUCACCAAGAAACAGCCAUUUUUUUCUUUUAGUAGUUUAUUUAUAAUUUGCUAGUGAGCUUGCAUGUAUCUACUGAGAGUUGUUAGAUGAUUAUUUAAUUCCAGGACAGAAGGUGGCACACACACCAAGACACAAAUCUAGCCAAUCAACAUCCCUGCUGGGUUGUGGAAGCUCUGCCUCUGACAAGGUGUGUGUUUCUGAUGUCCUCUGAUAUAUUCCAACUGAGAAAUCCUGCAAAAUUUUAUCUGAUCCUGUAAUUCAAGCUGGGGAUAGUUGGACACUUGGAAGUGUUGGCUAUUUGCUCUCAAGUGGGUAGGACAGUGUGAAGGAAGGUGAGAGUUUGCUUUUUAUGUCUUUAGGGUUUCACUUUAUUUGUCACAAUACCACACCAUCAAUUGGGCAUUUUUGGCUUAGCAAGAUGCUUUUUCGCAGUCAAUGUAUCAGGAAAUGUUCCGCAACCAAGGAUGUAAAACAGGAGUGCUGAAUUGUGGGGCUCAAGGAAGGUACAUCUCUUGAGAAAGCAUGGACAGAGGAGGGUGCUGAAUUUCAUCAGUCUGACCUGAUUGGAUUUUCACAAAUGACAUCGAAUUGAGCUUAUGGUCACUUGGAGUCUCUCUGAUUGGGUUGCUACUGGGUUAGGUUUUCUUUCUUUUCGUAGUUAAAAUUAAAA